AAUAAACCGUUGAUCAGGCUAGUAAUGUUAUAUAUUGCUUUCAGAGAGCUAGUGGUUUUGGUGUGAACUAGUACAAUAUUUUCAUGAAUCCACCUGUGAGGGACUGUGAUGAGCAGUACGGAAUUAACCGUUAAAGUUUUUAAGAGGAUAAAAUCUUUUUUUGAUUUUAUCAAUUAGGGUGGCAACGCGGAGUCUUUUCGUCCCUUUU
rnacentral:ncRNA from 1 species